rnacentral:rRNA from 1 species
CCUACGGGAGGCCGCCGUGGGGAAUAUUGCGCAAUGGGCGAAAGCCUGACGCAGCGACGCCGCGUGAGGGAUGAAGGUCUUCGGAUCGUAAACCUCUGUCAGCAGCGAAGUACGGCCACUGUGCUAAUCAGCAGUGAAUUGACGGUACCUGCACAGGAAGAACAGGCUAACUCCGUGCCAGCAGCCGCGGUACAACGGAGGGUGCGAGUGUUAAUCGGAAUUACUGGGCGGAAAGCGCUCGUAGGCGGUAUGUGAAGUCAAGGGUGAAAUCCCCGCGCUCAACGUGGGAACUGCCUUUUAGACUGGCAAACUGGAGUGUGUAGGAGGAUAGUGGAAUUCCAGGUGUAGGAGUGAAAUCCGGAGAUAUC